rnacentral:rRNA from 1 species
AGCAGCCGCCGCGGGAAUACGGAGGGUGCAAGCGUUAAUCGGAAUUACUGGGCGUAAAGCGCACGCAGGCGGUUUGUUAAGUCAGAUGUGAAAUCCCCGAGCUUAACUUGGGAACUGCAUUUGAAACUGGCAAGCUAGAGUCUUGUAGAGGGGGGUAGAAUUCCAGGUGUAGCGGCGAAAUGCGUAGAGAUCUGGAGGAAUACCGGUGGCGAAGGCGGCCCCCUGGACAAAGACUGACGCUCAGGUGCGAAAGCGUGGGGAGCAAACAGGAUUAGAUACCCCUGUAGUCCCUGUCUCUUAUAU